rnacentral:rRNA from 1 species
GAUGAACGCUGGCGGCGUGCCUAAUACAUGCAAGUCGAGCGAACGGACGAGAAGCUUGCUUCUCUGAUGUUAGCGGCGGACGGGUGAGUAACACGUGGAUAACCUACCUAUAAGACUGGGAUAACUUCGGGAAACCGGAGCUAAUACCGGAUAAUAUUUUGAACCGCACGGUUCAAAAGUGAAAGACGGUCUUGCUGUCACUUAUAGAUGGAUCCGCGCUGCAUUAGCUAGUUGGUGAGGUAACGGCUUACCAAGGCAACGAUGCAUAGCCGACCUGAGAGGGUGAUCGGCCACACUGGAACUGAGACACGGUCCAGACUCCUACGGGAGGCAGCAGUAGGGAAUCUUCCGCAAUGGGCGAAAGCCUGACGGAGCAACGCCGCGUGAGUGAUGAAGGUCUUCGGAUCGUAAAACUCUGUUAUUAGGGAAGAACAUAUGUGUAAGUAACUGUGCACAUCUUGACGGUACCUAAUCAGAAAGCCACGGCUAACUACGUG